GCAGCUGAGACAAGAAGUACACGUUGUUUAAAGCUGCAUGGUCAAACAAUCAAAAAGUUAUUAUUUAUCGGCUUGAAAUGGCUCGAGGCGAAGGCGCCGAGCACCUUACUAGUGGCGACAACUAAACCCACGAAGACAGAAAUCAAGGCGGUCAAGGGAGAAGAUGAUCUGCAGGAUCCUGCUGCCCAUAAUUCUCAACUCAUGUCUCUGUGCAGCAACAUUUGUAGUGAAUGUGGCACAGAGCUUCUAUCAGGCAGAGGAGAACCACAGCAUCACUCUGGAGUGGACCUUCACCACCAGACCUGAUGGACCCUGGAGAUUCCUGGUUAUCUACUGCAGCCUAUUAACGCCCAGGAAAGAAUCAGUCCUGUAUCGGGUCCAUGAUGGUGUUGAGGUGUCAGAGUCUCAGGAUGAACAGUUUUCAGGACGAGUCCAGAGUGACAAAGACGUCCUCAGAGAAGGACGAAUCAGACUCCAUGUGUCCAGACUAAGGACUGAAGACUCUGGUCUGUAUGUGUGUUUUGUGCAGACUGAUGAUGAUUCUAGUUCUGGAUCCUGUCAACUCAAUGUCUCUGCAGCUGCUGAUGUCUCCCAACCUCAGAGACCGACUCUGGAUCCAGAAUCAGAAGGUCGAGGAAGGACUGGCCUCUAUGCUGCACUGGGACUGACAGUAGCAGCAGCAGCAGCUCUGAUGGUCAAAGUUCUCUUCAGUUCCUGGCACAGAAAAUAUCAGCAGAAGUCGAUCUUUAUUUCAGCAUUUUAACAGAACCCUGAAGCUCGACUGGGCCACUGCUGGACUGAUGGCUUCAUAUUGGACUCCAGAAUAUUCUGGUGACCAGAGGAGGUUAUGGUGGACUCAGUGACUUCUAGGUGUUCAGGUCAUUAGUCCUCCACCACGUGCCUGACAGCUGCUUUGCUGAGUUUCAGACAAAAUCUUGGGCUUCAUUCAGCUGCCUUAUCACCAGCAUUAACCUGCUGCUUACUGUAAAUUAAGUAGCUUCAGUGUGCCCUCUAGUGGCCAAAGUAUUGCGUUCAUUGCCUUUUCCAUCUGCUGUGUCCGAGUUCAACUACAACAAAAACACUGGUAUGAAAACAGCUAAGCAGCUUAAUGUUUCACUACCAAGGAGCCAAACUGCCAGCCAAGCCUGUAUUUAUCUCCAGUCAUUGUUUACUGGGGUCACUUGGAUCUGUCUAAAUGUCAAAGUCAUGUUUUUCCAAAGGUUUGUUGUUUACUGAGAUGUUCUACAAGUUGUUUUUUCCCCACACCAUGGUUUUGUUUAAAGGUCUUACUCCACUUCCCUCCUCGUCUACUUUACCUCAUCAAAUCUUAGUUACUAAAUUGAUUUUGUGUUCUUGUCGCUUAUGAUCUAUUUAUGUACUGGUUUGUAAGAUCUGACUGUGACUCCUGCAGACAGGGGAGGCGCGUUACAUUCACCGUUUACCGUUUCCUAAGCACUCUUUUAUGAUAUGUUUGGAGUUUUACUGUUUUGGUCGUCUGAAGAACAUUUCCCGUUUCUAUAUACUUGAAUUCUCUGAAAAUGAACACACUCAUUGUUUUUGUUGUACAAAAUGAAGGAAAAUCUAAAGUUUAGCUCAGUCAUUGGCAGCUGCUGUGAGAUUUUAGAUUUUUAUUUAUCUAAUGAUUGUUUUCUGAUGAAGCAAAUGUAGCCUUUGGAUUUCUUUGGCUCUUAAUGUGACGUCUCAAAAAUAGCAUCUGUAUAAGAGGUCAUAUUCUCACAUACUAAGAGUGGGAAAGGCUUUAUUUAAAUAUUUAUACAAGUUGUCUAAGGGAUUAUUAUUUACCAAUGAAAGCACAUUUUUGUAAUAUAUAAACAUCACCACAGUGGAUGCUUGUGAUUCUGUAAGCAGGCAAUAUUUAAUUCCAGCAAAAAAAAAACAACAACACAUGAGAUUCCACAGAUUUUCUUGGUGGGCAUGUACAAACUGAAGAUUUGAACAGAUUAAAUGAUCUAUCCUGUUGUACAUAUGUGUAUAUAUAAAUUGUAAAUCGUUACAAAAUUGUUGAAACUGAAAAAUGUUUUUUUUUUCAUGUGAAAUGACCAUAAAAAACAUCU